GUGCAGAAGAGGAGAGUGGAAUUCCAUGUGUAGCGGUGAAAUGCGUAGAUAUAUGGAGGAACACCAGUGGCGAAGGCGGCUCUCUGGUCUGUAACUGACGCUGAGGCUCGAAAGCGUGGGGAGCGAACAGGAUUAGAUACCCUGGUAGUCCACGCCGUAAACGAUGAGUGCUAAGUGUUGGAGGGUUUCCGCCCUUCAGUGCUGCAGCAAACGCAUUAAGCACUCCGCCUGGGGAGUACGACCGCAAGGUUGAAACUCAAAGGAAUUGACGGGGGCCCGCACAAGCGGUGGAGCAUGUGGUUUAAUUCGAAGCAACGCGAAGAACCUUACCAGGUCUUGACAUCCUUUGACCACUCUAGAGAUAGAGCUUCCCCUUCGGGGGCAAAGUGACAGGUGGUGCAUGGUUGUCGUCAGCUCGUGUCGUGAGAUGUUGGGUUAAGUCCCGCAACGAGCGCAACCCUUAUUGUUAGUUGCCAUCAUUUAGUUGGGCACUCUAGCGAGACUGCCGGUGACAAACCGGAGGAAGGUGGGGAUGACGUCAAAUCAUCAUGCCCCUUAUGACCUGGGCUACACACGUGCUACAAUGGGAAGUACAACGAGUUGCGAAGUCGCGAGGCUAAGCUAAUCUCUUAAAGCUUCUCUCAGUUCGGAUUGUAGGCUGCAACUCGCCUACAUGAAGCCGGAAUCGCUAGUAAUCGCGGAUCAGCACGCCGCGGUGAAUACGUUCCCGGGCCUUGUACACAC
rnacentral:rRNA from 1 species